AUUGAACGCUGGCGGCAGGCUUAACACAUGCAAGUCGAGCGGAGCGAGGGUGCUUGCACCUUAGCUUAGCGGCGGACGGGUGAGUAAUGCUUAGGAAUCUGCCUAUUAGUGGGGGACAACAUUCCGAAAGGGAUGCUAAUACCGCAUACGCCCUACGGGGGAAAGCAGGGGAUCUUCGGACCUUGCGCUAAUAGAUGAGCCUAAGUCGGAUUAGCUAGGUGGUGGGGUAAAGGCCUACCAAGGCGACGAUCUGUAGCGGGGCUGAGAGGAUGAUCCGCCCCACUGGGACUGAGACACGGCCCAGACUCCUACGGGAGGCAGCAGUGGGGAAUAUUGGACAAUGGGCGGAAGCCUGAUCCAGCCAUGCCGCGUGUGUGAAGAAGGCCUUUUGGUUGUAAAGCACUUUAAGCGAGGAGGAGGCUACUAGUAUUAAUACUACUGGAUAGUGGACGUUACUCGCAGAAUAAGCACCGGCUAACUCUGUGCCAGCCGCCGCGGUAAGAC
rnacentral:rRNA from 1 species